UUCCACCACGGGAGGCAGCAGUAGGGAAUAUUGCUCAAUGGGGGAAACCCUGAAGCAGCAACGCCGCGUGGAGGAUGAAGGUUCUCGGAUUGUAAACUCCUUUUGUUAGAGAAGAUAAUGACGGUAUCUAACGAAUAAGCACCGGCUAACUCCGUGCCAGCAGCCGCGGUAAUACGGAGGGUGCAAGCGUUACUCGGAAUCACUGGGCGUAAAGAGCGCGUAGGCGGGAUAGCAAGUCACAUGUGAAAUACUAUGGCUUAACCAUAUAACUGCCUUUGAAAAUGUUAUUCAUGAUUAUGGGAGAG
rnacentral:rRNA from 1 species